GCCGGGGUAGCUCAGCCAGGUAGAGCGUCCGGCUGUUAACCGGGUGGUCGUGGGUUCGAAUCCCACCCCCGGCG
rnacentral:tRNA from 1 species